rnacentral:lncRNA from 1 species
UAACUCCCAAGGCUCGAUCUUGUUGAGAUCAACUUCACCAAUGGCGGUGGCAGAGAAGAAAGUGUUGAAGACCUUUUGUUUGAGAUAGUGAGUUAUGAGUUCUUCAUCAGUAGGGUGAAAUCUGAAUCCAGGUGGCAGAUCAAUUUGCUCUUCAUCUUCUACUAUUUCACCGAUUCUUGAUGCAUCGUAAUCCAUUUAUCCUAAUAUAGUUUAUUAGAAACAAUCAAAGUUAUGUAAGAGAGAAGAGAAAAGGGUUUUUGAAGAGAGAGAGAGAUUUUUUUUAAAGAGAGAAGAGGAAAGGGUUUGAGCAAACGAAGCUCCUCUCUAUAUACUAGUUUUCCAUCAGAGAAAUAAGGAAAUAAUAUUAUUAUUGUUGAUAUUGACCAAUAAUUGGUCAAUCUUUUGUGUAUCAAGUUCUUCUUUCAAAGUUUCAAACUAUGAGUUGUAUUGAAUUUCAAGAGUUUUCACCUACUAUAAAGAAAACUUUUAUCUUCGCUCUAAAUGAUUUAUUGUAUAUAAAUGGGUUUUCAGAUUUAAAUCUCGUACAGCCAUAAAUCAUAUUAUAAAUCAGAAAAUGGGUGUACACACACAUUAACACAUACUAUAGUUAGUUUUCUUAGUAGGAUAGAGAAAGAAGAAGAUGCGUCGAUUGUUAGGCAACUUAAGAUGUGUAAUAUUCAAAAAUCAUUUCUCAUCAUUAAAAAUAAACCUUUCUAUUUCAAGAACUUUAAUAUUUCCAAGUUUCAAUUUGACCAGGAACACUUCACCUGUGGCUCCCUGUCCCUUUUUUGGUUAAUGUGAUAAGAACAAUCUUAUCACAUUAAAUCCUGAUGUUUUGUCCAUUCUUGAAACUAAUUAUUAGUUGCUGGAAAAAGAAUAUCAGUAGAAAACUAUGAUUAUUGGUUUGAAAACAUUUUACAUUGAAACUAUAUGAUUAUAUAAUUGAAACAUUAUAAAUUACCGCGGGUCACUAUUAUUGGUGUUGUGAUUCAGGAUAACUAUGAGAAAAGAGUUUACCAUGGUUGGAUAUAAUUUGUUUUAUUUACUUAACAAGUGUUAUCCCUCUCAUGAAAAGAUUAUGCAUGCAUGAACCUUGGAAAGUAGAUUCUUUAGUAUUAAAGGAACUCUUUUCUUUGUCCUAUUACAGUGCCUACCGUUAUAAGAAAUUAUAAUACUAGUAUCCAAGAUUUUUUUAAGAAGUUCAGUGAAAAAUUGGAAAGAAAAACGAUUUCCUUGUGAAGAUGGGUAAUGAUGAUGAAUGGAUGAGGACAUGAUGAUGAAAAUCUGUUAGAAUGUGAAGACAUUUUGAACAACCUCAACCUUAUCAUAUGUGAAUUAUUUGAUUUUUUAAUGAUCGAAUCACGCGUUUGUGCAUACGAGGUUGUCAUUUGUCACUUCUACAACAUGUGCAUUUUAUUCUUUUCUAGCCAAAUUUCUUCCUCAGUAUUUUUAUUAUACUUGCUGUUUAAAUCCUUAUAUAAUCGAUGUAUUGGUAUUUUUAAUCAACUAUCCAAAAGCAACCCGAUUCUCCCAUACCGGCUAAAGCGGAGGGGUCAGUACCAGUACCGGGGAACUGGGUUUCGUGACUGUUAAGCAACAGUUUCAUUAGCGAAUCAUUGUCUUGCAGAAACAGAGGAUCAGGGUAAAACAGAGGACCAGAACCGUCUUUGGACUCGAGAUGAAUGAGUCUUUUAUCUUCGGUUUCUUGGUCGGAGAAGCAGGUCACGUGAGUAGACGAACCAGGGAAGGAAUCUCGUUGAGAAGAAUCCAUCAACGAAGGUAAUCCGACCGGUUCAAUCCGGUUUAUGUGUGAAUCAAGCAACACUAAAUGGGACAUAUCAACCUUUGUACCAUCGGCACGUUUAUGGAAAACACGGCAAAUAACCCAAUCGUUCUACAUUCACACACAACAAAACAGAACACAAAAUAUCAAUUCAAUUCCACACAAAAAAAGACAAAAAUGUCUUUGAUGUUACCUUAGCUGUCUGGGAAAGAUGUUGGAUAGAAUAUAUGCCUUCUAAUCGAUAUUCAUGCAUAACCCAAUUGGUUCUUACUCCUUUAGGAGCUCUUCCUUUGUAGAAAACCAGAGUCUUCUUCAUACCCACAAGUGAUUUCCCCUUGAAAAUCUCUUUAUCUUUGCCUGUGGCUUUCCAGUAACCGGCUUCAGUUGCCCGGUUUGUCCUUAAACCGGUUGGGUAUUUCCGGUCUCGCACACAAAAGAAAUACCAUUCUUUCUCCCCUAUCUUAGCUUUCCCUAUUCCACCAAAAGCCAUCACAUACAUAUUUGAGUAAUAAUAAAUUACAGAACAAUAAUAACUAACAUAAAAAAGUUUAGAAAAGGCGGAAAAAGUUUAGAAAAGGCAUGAUACUUCAUGCAGUCUCAAACCAUUUGUAAAGUUUUGUGGAAUCAUGUAUAUUAAACAUAUAUAUUAGUUUUUUUUUAACUUCAGAUAUAUAAAUUCAUAUUUACAGCUUUCUUAUAGUACAAACGAUUUUUAAUUCCUGGAAAGGUUGUACACUUACUUGGUAACUCCCAAGGCUCGAUCUUGUUGAGAUCAACUUCACCAAUGGCGGUGGCAGAGAAGAAAGUGUUGAAGACCUUUUGUUUGAGAUAGUGAGUUAUGAGUUCUUCAUCAGUAGGGUGAAAUCUGAAUCCAGGUGGCAGAUCAAUUUGCUCUUCAUCUUCUACUAUUUCACUGAUUCUUGAUGCAUCGUAAUCCAUUUAUCCUAAUAUAGUUUAUUAGAAACAAUCAAAGUUAU